ACCACCCCUUUUGGUCCCUGCUCCCUUAUCAACUCAUCAAAUAUUUGCUCUAUAUUUUAAGAUUUUGUUAGUGUCCAUGCCUAAUAAGUAAUAAAAAGAAAUGAAGAAUUUGAUAUAUCAAGCACCUUUCUUCUGCUCAUAAUUUCAAGAAUCACAAUUCCAAAGGUAUAUAUGUCACUUUUCCCUGCUAAUUGACCAUAUUGAGCAUACGAGGUGCUAAAUAACCAUGUGUAACAGCUACCCUUGUGGUGAAAUGUGACUGACCUUCGAAACUUUGCUUAGCCCACCCAAAAUUUGCAACUUGUAUUGAGAUGUGGUCAGGUCACUUUCAGUAGAUACCAGUCAAAACCAAUAUUGAGUAGUUCUCAAGUGUGAUGGCGUGUAUUUGCAGAAUUUAUAGGCUAAAUAAACUCUAGUCGCUCCUAGAUGAAAUCAAUAGCUUAAACGCCUUAACUGCAGUUUCUACAAGAUUUACAUGAAAUACAAUGGGCAACUUAAUCCAAAGUUCCACACUCCCCUCUUCCCCGAAAGACAGAAGUUGUACUUUCGUCAGAAAACGAGCAACUAGUGAUAACAGAGAGAUGUUGGCGACGAAGAUGGAGGUUUUUGGAGGGCAACAACGAAGAUCUUGUUACUUUCGGCUAAGGCAAGAGAUGUUGGUAACGAAAAUGGAGGUUUUUAGGGGAGCGAGCGGCAAAGAUGAAAAUCUACCGUCGACUAUGGCGACAGGAAGAGACACAUAGGGCUUAGAU
rnacentral:misc_RNA from 1 species